CAUGGCUCAGGAUGAACGCUAGCUACAGGCUUAACACAUGCAAGUCGAGGGGAAACGACAUCGAAAGCUUGCUUUUGAUGGGCGUCGACCGGCGCACGGGUGAGUAACGCGUAUCCAACCUGCCCAUCACUUGGGGAUAACCUUGCGAAAGUAAGACUAAUACCCAAUGAUAUCUCUAGGAGACAUCUGAAAGAGAUUAAAGAUUUAUCGGUGAUGGAUGGGGAUGCGUCUGAUUAGCUUGUUGGCGGGGUAACGGCCCACCAAGGCUACGAUCAGUAGGGGUUCUGAGAGGAAGGUCCCCCACAUUGGAACUGAGACACGGUCCAAACUCCUACGGGAGGCAGCAGUGAGGAAUAUUGGUCAAUGGACGAGAGUCUGAACCAGCCAAGUAGCGUGCAGGAUGACGGCCCUAUGGGUUGUAAACUGCUUUUAUAAGGGAAUAAAGUGAGUCUCGUGAGACUUUUUGCAUGUACCUUAUGAAUAAGGACCGGCUAAUUCCGUGCCAGCAGCCGCGGUAAUACGGAAGGUCCGGGCGUUAUCCGGAUUUAUUGGGUUUAAAGGGAGCGUAGGCCGGAGAUUAAGCGUGUUGUGAAAUGUAGACGCUCAACGUCUGCACUGCAGCGCGAACUGGUUUCCUUGAGUACGCACAAAGUGGGCGGAAUUCGUGGUGUAGCGGUGAAAUGCUUAGAUAUCACGAAGAACUCCGAUUGCGAAGGCAGCUCACUGGAGCGCAACUGACGCUGAAGCUCGAAAGUGCGGGUAUCGAACAGGAUUAGAUACCCUGGUAGUCCGCACGGUAAACGAUGGAUGCCCGCUGUUGGUCUGAAUAGGUCAGCGGCCAAGCGAAAGCAUUAAGCAUCCCACCUGGGGAGUACGCCGGCAAGGGUGCAACUCAAAGGAAUUGACGG
rnacentral:rRNA from 1 species